rnacentral:rRNA from 1 species
AGAGUUUGAUCAUGGCUCAGGACGAACGCUGGCGGCACGCUUAACACAUGCAAGUCGAACGAGAGAAGAGGAGCUUGCUUUUCUGAUCUAGUGGCGGACGGGUGAGUAACACGUGAGCAAUCUGCCUUUCAGAGGGGGAUACCGAUUGGAAACGAUCGUUAAUACCGCAUAACAUAAUUGAACCGCAUGAUUUGAUUAUCAAAGAUUUAUCGCUGAAAGAUGAGCUCGCGUCUGAUUAGCUAGUUGGUAAGGUAACGGCUUACCAAGGCGACGAUCAGUAGCCGGACUGAGAGGUUGAUCGGCCACAUUGGGACUGAGACACGGCCCAGACUCCUACGGGAGGCAGCAGUGGGGAAUAUUGCACAAUGGAGGAAACUCUGAUGCAGCGAUGCCGCGUGAGGGAAGAAGGUUUUAGGAUUGUAAACCUCUGUCUUCAGGGACGAAAAAAGACGGUACCUGAGGAGGAAGCUCCGGCUAACUACGUGCCAGCAGCCGCGGUAAUACGUAGGGAGCGAGCGUUGUCCGGAAUUACUGGGUGUAAAGGGAGCGUAGGCGGGAUCGCAAGUCAGAUGUGAAAACUAUGGGCUUAACCCAUAAACUGCAUUUGAAACUGUGGUUCUUGAGUGAAGUAGAGGUAAGCGGAAUUCCUAGUGUAGCGGUGAAAUGCGUAGAUAUUAGGAGGAACAUCAGUGGCGAAGGCGGCUUACUGGGCUUUAACUGACGCUGAGGCUCGAAAGCGUGGGGAGCAAACAGGAUUAGAUACCCUGGUAGUCCACGCCGUAAACGAUGAUUACUAGGUGUGGGGGGACUGACCCCUUCCGUGCCGCAGCAAACGCAAUAAGUAAUCCACCUGGGGAGUACGACCGCAAGGUUGAAACUCAAAGGAAUUGACGGGGGCCCGCACAAGCAGUGGAGUAUGUGGAUUAAUUCGAAGCAACGCGAAGAACCUUACCAGGUCUUGACAUCGUAUGCAUAGCUCAGAGAUGAGUGAAAUCUCUUCGGAGACAUAUAGACAGGUGGUGCAUGGUUGUCGUCAGCUCGUGUCGUGAGAUGUUGGGUUAAGUCCCGCAACGAGCGCAACCCUUACUGUUAGUUGCUACGCAAGAGCACUCUAGCAGGACUGCCGUUGACAAAACGGAGGAAGGUGAGGAUGACGUCAAAUCAUCAUGCCCCUUAUGACCUGGGCCUCACACGUACUACAAUGGCUGUCAACAGAGGGAAGCAAAGCCGCGAGGUGGAGCGAACCCCUAAAAGCAGUCUUAGUUCGGAUUGUAGGCUGCAACCCGCCUACAUGGAGUCGGAAUUGCUAGUAAUCGCAGAUCAGCAUGCUGCGGUGAAUACGUUCCCGGGCCUUGUACACACCGCCCGUCACGCCAUGGGAGUCGGUAACACCCGAAGCCUGUAGUCUAACCGCAAGGAGGACGCAGUCGAAGGUGGGAUUGAUGACUGGGGUGAAGUCGUAACAGGUA